GCGGGUGUAGUUCAGCGGUAGAACGUCAGCUUCCCAAGCUGAAUGUCGUGGGUUCGAUCCCCAUCACCCGCUCCA
rnacentral:tRNA from 2 species